GAGGGGGGCAAGCGUUGUUCGGAAUUAUUGGGCGUAAAGGGUGCGUAGGCGGUUUUGUAAGUCUUGUGUGAAAUCUUCAGGCUCAACUUGAAGACUGCACGAGAAACUGCAAGGCUUGAGUGUGGGAGAGGUGAGUGGAAUUCCUGGUGUAGCGGUGAAAUGCGUAGAUAUCAGGAGGAACACCUGUGGCGAAAGCGGCUCACUGGACCACAACUGACGCUGAUGCACGAAAGCUAGGGGAGCAAACAGGAUUAGAUACCCUGGUAGUCCUAGCCCUAAACGAUGACUGCUUGGUGUGACGGGUACCCAAUCCCGCCGUGCCGUAGCUAACGCGUUAAGCAGUCCGCCUGGGGAGUACGGUCGCAAGGCUG
rnacentral:rRNA from 1 species